rnacentral:lncRNA from 1 species
AUGAUAACCACUCAACGUGUUUUUUUGGGUCUCUUUGUCUUAAUGCUCUUAAAUUUCAUAACAUGUUCUAUAGUUUUGAUAAAUAGUGAAACUAGAAGUAAUCUUAUAGAUAGUUUUCUGCCACGGAAGCUGCUAGUUCAUGUCUCCUCCUUCACUGCAAGUUUAGAUAAGUUGGAAAUAUCUUAUGAAACCACCCAGAGAUCUGUGAACACAAGUUUAAGGCAGGCUCCUGAUAGCAAAUCAAAUCCAAUCCAUAACAAGCGACUUUGA